rnacentral:rRNA from 1 species
GAUGAACGCUAGCUACAGGCUUAACACAUGCAAGUCGAGGGGCAGCAUGGUCUUAGCUUGCUAAGGCCGAUGGCGACCGGCGCACGGGUGAGUAACACGUAUCCAACCUGCCGUCUACUCUUGGACAGCCUUCUGAAAGGAAGAUUAAUACAAGAUGGCAUCAUGAGUUCACAUGUUCACAUGAUUAAAGGUAUUCCGGUAGACGAUGGGGAUGCGUUCCAUUAGAUAGUAGGCGGGGUAACGGCCCACCUAGUCUUCGAUGGAUAGGGGUUCUGAGAGGAAGGUCCCCCGCAAUGGAACUGAGACACGGUCCAAACUCCUACGGGAGGCAGCAGUGAGGAAUAUUAGUCAAUGGGCGAGAGCCUGAACCAGCCAAGUAGCGUGAAGGAUGACUGCCCUAUGGGUUGUAAACUUCUUUUAUAAAGGAAUAAAGUCGGGUAUGUAUACCCGUUUGCAUGUACUUUAUGAAUAAGGAUCGGCUAACUCCGUG